GACGAACGCUGGCGGCGUGCCUAAUACAUGCAAGUCGAACGAACUCUGGUAUUGAUUGGUGCUUGCAUCAUGAUUUACAUUUGAGUGAGUGGCGAACUGGUGAGUAACACGUGGGAAACCUGCCCAGAAGCGGGGGAUAACACCUGGAAACAGAUGCUAAUACCGCAUAACAACUUGGACCGCAUGGUCCGAGUUUGAAAGAUGGCUUCGGCUAUCACUUUUGGAUGGUCCCGCGGCGUAUUAGCUAGAUGGUGGGGUAACGGCUCACCAUGGCAAUGAUACGUAGCCGACCUGAGAGGGUAAUCGGCCACAUUGGGACUGAGACACGGCCCAAACUCCUACGGGAGGCAGCAGUAGGGAAUCUUCCACAAUGGACGAAAGUCUGAUGGAGCAACGCCGCGUGAGUGAAGAAGGGUUUCGGCUCGUAAAACUCUGUUGUUAAAGAAGAACAUAUCUGAGAGUAACUGUUCAGGUAUUGACGGUAUUUAACCAGAAAGCCACGGCUAACUACGUGCCAGCAGCCGCGGUAAUACGUAGGUGGCAAGCGUUGUCCGGAUUUAUUGGGCGUAAAGCGAGCGCAGGCGGUUUUUUAAGUCUGAUGUGAAAGCCUUCGGCUCAACCGAAGAAGUGCAUCGGAAACUGGGAAACUUGAGUGCAGAAGAGGACAGUGGAACUCCAUGUGUAGCGGUGAGAUGCGUAGAUAUAUGGAAGAACACCAGUGGCGAAGGCGGCUGUCUGGUCUGUAACUGACGCUGAGGCUCGAAAGUAUGGGUAGCAAACAGGAUUAGAUACCCUGGUAGUCCAUACCGUAAACGAUGAAUGCUAAGUGUUGGAGGGUUUCCGCCCUUCAGUGCUGCAGCUAACGCAUUAAGCAUUCCGCCUGGGGAGUACGGCCGCAAGGCUGAAACUCAAAGGAAUUGACGGGGGCCCGCACAAGCGGUGGAGCAUGUGGUUUAAUUCGAAGCUACGCGAAGAACCUUACCAGGUCUUGACAUACUAUGCAAAUCUAAGAGAUUAGACGUUCCCUUCGGGGACAUGGAUACAGGUGGUGCAUGGUUGUCGUCAGCUCGUGUCGUGAGAUGUUGGGUUAAGUCCCGCAACGAGCGCAACCCUUAUUAUCAGUUGCCAGCAUUAAGUUGGGCACUCUGGUGAGACUGCCGGUGACAAACCGGAGGAAGGUGGGGAUGACGUCAAAUCAUCAUGCCCCUUAUGACCUGGGCUACACACGUGCUACAAUGGAUGGUACAACGAGUUGCGAACUCGCGAGAGUAAGCUAAUCUCUUAAAGCCAUUCUCAGUUCGGAUUGUAGGCUGCAACUCGCCUACAUGAAGUCGGAAUCGCUAGUAAUCGCGGAUCAGCAUGCCGCGGUGAAUACGUUCCCGGGCCUUGUACACACCGCCCGUCACACCAUGAGAGUUUGUAACACCCAAAGUCGGUGGGGUAACCUUUUAGGAACCAGCCGCCUAAGGUGGGACAGAUGAUUAGGGUG
rnacentral:rRNA from 1 species